UCUGGCAACCUUGUUUUCCCGAAUCUCUGCUCCCACACACUCCACACCUUCCUGUCCCUUCUCUAAUUGCUCCUCCUCAGUCCUUCCCUUUAUCAGCCUGGCCCAGGGUGGUGGCCUUGAGCACCUUCUCUUCCUCAACCUUGCUCUUCUGGGACAGUUCCUCUGGUCCUGGGACCCAUCUCCACUUGGGACUGGCCUUGCCAGAGUCCUCCAGGACCUCAUCUCCAGCUCCUGAUGCAGAAGCCACCCAUCUCCUGAGCAGCAGCAUGUGGCAAUGAUCUUGUGCGUGCCUGGACACUGUACAUGCUCAGCCUGACAAACCAGCCCAAGGGCAUUGUCCUCCCAGCUCUCCGGGGUUCUCCCAGCUCUCUCCGAAUCUGCUGCCUCAUCCAGGAGUACACCAAGUACUGGAUCACGCCUGAUCAACUCCCACCUUCUCUGUGCGGUGCCUGGCCACAGUCAGUACUCAGUCAGAGUUCAUGGAAUGAAGGAGUGAGUGACUGAACAGGUGGGUGAGUGAUGGAAUGAAUGAAUAAAUGGGAAAGUGAGGCAGUAAGGCCCAAGGAGAAGAUAGCUGGGAGGGUAGAUGGAUAGGGGGUCCAACGUGAGGUUGGGUGACUGGGAAAAUGGAUGAGUGUGUGGGUAGAUGGAAUAAGUGGAUGGGUGGGGAGGUAGGUAAAUGGACAGGCUGGGGAAUAGAUCAGUGGAUAGAUGAGCAAAUGAACAUGAGGAGCCUCCAGGCUUGACGGACUGCCCAUCCCCUGCAGAGGGAGGCCAGGCUCCCCUGCCACUAUGUAACAGUCCUGUCACUCUAAUCUGGAGACCCUCCCUGGCCUGACCCGGUGAGGGUUGUGAGUACGCAGCACAGACACAGUCCCCUGAGCCUGGAAGGUGGGACCUGGCUCCAGCUAAUGAGUGCCUGCCUGAAACAGAACUGACUCUGCUUGAGGGCAGGGGAGGACAAGGCCACUUCUUCUCCCCUCUGAGACCCUGAACAGCCAUUUCUGUCCACUGGAGGCUCCUGUACCCAGAUAUUCUAUUGUGCUUGGAUGUGCUCACCCACCUCUGACCUGUCCAGGUGCCUCUGGGAAGAGGACCCUUCCAAGUUCCUGUGGCACUGCAUUGCCCAGGUCCUCUUUCAAGGAAGGAUUUCCUUCUGACAGCAAUAUUAGGAUCUGGAGAUAUUAGGAUACAUCUGGGGGAUAUUAGGAACCUGCCUCACGAUGUGAGUUUUUUUCUCUACCCUCUCCUGCUGCUGCCCCCUUCCCCACACAGGUGUUCAUCCCUAACAGACAUCUUGCCCUCAGACUCCGUCUCAGUGUUCACUCACAGAGAACACAACCUGCAACAACUGCCUCAACUCCAUCUCCAGAGCUCUCUGAAGUUGGCUCCUUUCCACACACACCUAGGAAGGCCCUGCUUGAGGCCUAUAGUGUCCAGAGGGACUAAGACAUGGUCCCAGGAGCUCUUGUCUCUGGACUGAGCUCUCUCUUCCCUGGGUUCACCCUAUCCCAUCCCUUCACCCAUCCCCCUCCACCAGCCUGACCCUGCCUGCACCCUUCACCCCACCCACCACCAUCACUUGGCACCUCCCAGCUCCAAGCCUCUCUCAGCCUUUCCUGUGGCAUUCAUGUGGCAACAGCAGCCUGUCUGGACACUAUUAUGAGCCAGAGCCCCCCUCAGCCUCAGUCCUGCUCCCCUGAACAGGCAGACCCUGGGAGAGUCACCCAUUCGGUGAUAGAGCAGAUAUAUGAGAAGGCUCAGAAUUUUGCACCUUUCAAACUUGACUUUUUAACUGUGGCACAGCAUUUAUUCUGUGGGCAGAAGAACAGAUUUUCUGUUAACAAAAACUGAAUAUCCAUUUGUGAUGAAAACAAGAGCUUUGUUACAUGCCCUGAAUGUAACAUAACAUUUUAACUUUUUUGGAAUUAUCUUUCAGUUCAUGAUUUUCCUACAUUCCUAAGUGACAGCAAGUCACUCACAUUCUCUAAGAAUAGAAGUGACCUGUUAGAAUAUAGCAGUAAAGUCUGGUUCAGAAUGUGUUUGAAAGCCAUCUUUCUGGCUUUCCUGUUAAUAAAACAUCUUGUACUUUCUGUGACUCUUAUUUUCUCUUCUGUGGUUUUCCAAACCAGAUUUGGAAAGACCCGUAAAAGGAUAUGUAUUCUCAUUAUAAAAUAAAUCACUUGUUCCAGGAAGUAGCUCUUUGAUUUAGGAGCUAAUUUCAGGCAUCUGGC